rnacentral:rRNA from 1 species
GACGAACGCUGGCGGCGUGCCUAAUACAUGCAAGUAGAACGCUGAAGGAGGAGCUUGCUUCUCUGGAUGAGUUGCGAACGGGUGAGUAACGCGUAGGUAACCUGCCUGGUAGCGGGGGAUAACUAUUGGAAACGAUAGCUAAUACCGCAUAAGAGUAGAUGUUGCAUGACAUUUGCUUAAAAGGUGCAAUUGCAUCACUACCAGAUGGACCUGCGUUGUAUUAGCUAGUUGGUGGGGUAACGGCUUACCAAGGCGACGAUACAUAGCCGACCUGAGAGGGUGGUCCGCCACACUGGGACUGGGACACGGCCCAGACUCCUACGGGGGGCAGCAGUAGGGGAUCUUCGGCAAUAGACGGAAGUCUGACCGAGCAACGCCGCGUGAGUGAAGAAGGGUUUCGGAUCGUAAAGCUCUGUUGUAAGAGAAGAAAGAGUGGGAGAGUGGAAAGUUCACACUGUGACGGUACCUAACCAGAAAGGGACGGCUAACUACGUG